rnacentral:rRNA from 1 species
CGUAGGGUGCAAGCGUUAAUCGGAAUUACUGGGCGUAAAGCGUGCGCAGGCGGUGAUGUAAGACAGUUGUGAAAUCCCCGGGCUCAACCUGGGAACUGCAUCUGUGACUGCAUCGCUGGAGUACGGCAGAGGGGGAUGGAAUUCCGCGUGUAGCAGUGAAAUGCGUAGAUAUGCGGAGGAACACCGAUGGCGAAGGCAAUCCCCUGGGCCUGUACUGACGCUCAUGCACGAAAGCGUGGGGAGCAAACAGGAUUAGAUACCCUGGUAGUCCACGCCCUAAACGAUGUCAACUGGUUGUUGGGUCUUCACUGACUCAGUAACGAAGCUAACGCGUGAAGUUGACCGCCUGGGGAGUACGGCCGCAAGGUUG